rnacentral:rRNA from 1 species
AUUGAACGCUGGCGGCAGGCCUAACACAUGCAAGUCGAGCGGAGCGGCGGACGGGUGAGUAAUGCCUAGGAAUCUGUCUGGUAGUGGGGGAUAACGUCCGGAAACGGGCGCUAAUACCGCAUACUAUCAGAUGAGCCUAGGUCGGAUUAGCUAGUUGGUGGGGUAAAGGCCUACCAAGGCGCCGAUCCGUAACUGGUCUGAGAGGAUGAUCAGUCACAAUGGAACUGAGACACGGUCCAAACGGCUACGGGAGGCAGCAGAGGGGAAUAGGGGACAAUGGGCGAAAGCCUGAUCCAGCCAGGGCGCGUGUGUGAAGAAGGUCCUCGGAUUGUAAAGCACUUUAAGUUGGGAGGCGUUACCAACAGAAUAAGCACCGGCUAACUUCGUGCCAGCAGCCGCGGUAAUUC